rnacentral:rRNA from 1 species
GGCCCGAUUCGGAUGAUCUACGCCAUGCGAGUCAUUGUAGUAAUACAAGGCAGACGGCUCAGUAACGCGUAGUCAACCUAACCUAUGGACGGGAAUAACCUCGGGAAACUGAGUAUAAUGCCCGAUAGAACAUUAUGCCUGGAAUGGUUUAUGUUCCAAAUGAUUUAUCGCCGUAGGAUGGGACUGCGGCCUAUCAGUUUGUUGGUGAGGUAAUGGCCCACCAAGACUAUUACAGGUACGGGCUCUGAGAGGAGUAGCCCGGAGAUGGGUACUGAGACACGGACCCAGGCCCUAUGGGGCGCAGCAGGCGAGAAAACUUUGCAAUGUGCGAAAGCACGACAAGGUUAAUCCGAGUGGUUUCUGCUAAAGGAACCUUUUGUCGGUCCUAGAAACACCGAUGAAUAAGGGGUGGGCAAGUUCUGGUGUCAGCCGCCGCGGUAAAACCAGCACCUCAAGUGGUCAGGAGGAUUAUUGGGCCUAAAGCAUCCGUAGCCGGCUGUGUAAGUUUUCGGUUAAAUCUAUAUGCUCAACAUAUAGGCUGCCGAGAAUACUGCACAGCUAGGGAGUGGGAGAGGUAGACGGUACUCGGUAGGAAGGGGA